rnacentral:rRNA from 1 species
CAGUCGCCGCGGUAAUACGUAGGUGGCAAGCGUUGUCCGGAAUUAUUGGGCGUAAAGGGCUCGCAGGCGGUUUCUUAAGUCUGAUGUGAAAGCCCCCGGCUCAACCGGGGAGGGUCAUUGGAAACUGGGAAACUUGAGUGCAGAAGGGGAGAGUGGAAUUCCACGUGUAGCGGUGAAAUGCGUAGAGAUGUGGAGGAACACCAGUGGCGAAGGCGACUCUCUGGUCUGUAACUGACGCUGAGGAGCGAAAGCGUGGGGAGCGAACAGGAUUAGAGACCCGCGUAGUCCCUGUCUCUUAUAC